AGGUCAUGUCUACUAUACCUUUAUCAAGGUAGGCACUCGGUCACACUGUGGGUAGUGUACCUUAGACGUUAAUCGUCAAGGGUGUGACGUGAGGUUGGGUUGAAUGCCCC
rnacentral:ncRNA from 1 species